UCUAAGGCUUGGAGUAACGGCUCAUUUGAUUGGUCUAGAUAUUAGAGAGGUCAAUUUUCAUUGGUCGCUAUAUUUUCUUUACACGGUCCUUCAUGGCGGAUUCAAAACGUUAGAUGUGUGUGAAAACGCAGUGAAGAACUUUUGACCAUGCCGCAUAUGAGUUCAGGCGGCUCAGAGGAUUUUUACUCAAAAGAUGAGGUCAAAGUAUAUAAAGACGAAGGAGAUGAGGAGAAAAGAUCAUCGGAAAACCUGUCGGAGGAAAAGUUCGGUUUAGUCACUGAAUCGGAAGAGGGUAAAAAUGGCGGUUUGACGGAAAAUUACCAGAGGAAUGAUUCGAAAUCCAACAGCGCCCAGCCCGAGGACGACAAGUCUGUACCGCAGCCCCCAGGCGCCAGUCAGGGUCCCCUCGGGUUCUUCGUACCCAGUCCGUAUCCUCCGUAUCCAAAUGGCACAUCCAUGGGAAGCAAGCUGGGACUGGUUCAACCUCCGUACCCAGGGCUGGUGAUGGAGUUUGGGUCCCCUCCCCCAGCACACAUGGGUAUACCUCCGUUACACUCAGACGCCAAAACAGGGCAAGAAGCCGACACUUUAGGCAAGCCCUGUGUUUGGUUACCUCGUCCACCGAUGUACGCAUACCCAACACAUCCAGGGCAGUUUCCACCACAUUUAUACGGUCCAGAAUUAUCAUCAGUACAUUGGCAUCGGCCUCCAGGGUAUCCAAUCUCUUCAGGUGCCUUUUCCAGUUCAUAUACCCCUUUAAUAAACUCUAGUAUAUCACGGUUUGGUCCUCCAGCCCUGAUACCUCACCCAGGCAUGCCACCGGGGCUGCCCCCCUCAGUGCUCAGCCCUGGGAUGAAACAAGAACCAGGCAUGGGAAUGCCGCCCAACAUGUGCCAAGAUAGUCAGAGGCACGGUGGUAUGAACGAUCAGCAGAACUACCAAACAAAUCAAAAUACCGAACCUGUGAAGAAAAAACCACAUAUAAAGAAACCGUUAAAUGCUUUUAUGCUGUUUAUGAAAGAAAUGAGGCCCAUGGUUAUUAAAGAAUGUACGCUACGGGAAUCUGCAGCUAUUAACCAAAUCUUAGGUCGAAGGUGGCAUGCAUUAGAUAGAGCAGAACAGUCUAAAUAUUAUGACAUGGCACGGAAAGAAAAAGAACUACACUUACAACUUUACCCUGGCUGGAGUGCCCGCGACAAUUACGCAUCACACAACAAGAAGAAGAAGAGAAAGAAGGAAAACACAAAUGAGCCGAGAGGAGUGAAUGUAGGUGAAUGUACCCAAGCGAAAAAGUGUCGAGCGAGGUACGGAAUGGAGCAGCAGACACAGUGGUGCAAGCCAUGCAGAUCACUGCAUGAGUCCAAGUGUCAACUUGUAGAGACUUCUGCUGAUUUAGAAACGAAAAACACCACCAACUUAUGAUAGGGUGAGAUUUAGCUCCUUGAUUGACCCACAGGGUAUUUUUCCCAUCCAACCAGUACCCCAUAAUGUGGUAUAUCAAAACCCAUGAAGGAAGAAAAAAUGUGUUCGCUACAAGAGAGGAGAAGACGCUACGGGUA
rnacentral:misc_RNA from 1 species